UAACUUAUAAACAUAACUCUGUAUCUUUGC
rnacentral:piRNA from 1 species